AAUGAACGUUGGCGGCGUGGAUUAGGCAUGCAAGUCGUGCGAGAAGUCUUUUGCUUGCAUUAGACGGAAAGCGGCGAAAGGGAGAGUAACGCGUGGAUACCUACCUCCAGGUUCGGGAUAGCUGCGGGAAACUGCGGGUAAUACCGAAUGACAUCUCCGGCUCAAAGGUGUGAUUCCGCCUGGAGACGGGUCCGCGUCCUACUAGCUUGUUGGUGGGGUAACGGCUCACCAAGGCGACGAUGGGUAUCAGGCGUGAGAGCGUGACCUGACUCACUGUGACUGAGACACUGCCCAGACACCUACGGGUGGCUGCAGUCGAGAAUCUUCGGCAAUGGGCGCAAGCCUGACCGAGCGACGCCGCGUGCGGGAUGAAGGCCCUCGGGUUGUAAACCGCUGUCAGUUGGGAGGAAAUCACAUGGGGUUCUCUCCAUGUGUUGACCUAUCUUCAGAGGAAGGACGGGCUAAGUUCGUGCAGCCGCCGCCGUAAUAC
rnacentral:rRNA from 1 species